GGAGAGGCAUCAUCAUGAAAUUACAGAGAGAACAGGCAGUGGAGAAGGAGCUGUUUCUCCCCAACCACAUGCAUCUGCAAGAGUGAGGAGUGGAACAGGCAGAGCCAGAGAACAGCAGAGUUGAGGUUUUCCAAGGAGGUACAUGCAGCAGAAUAUGCAAGAGAUUCGAGUGUGUCCAGAGGAAUUUAUCCUAACAAUUGACCAUGGAAGGUGACCAGAUGGGUGUGAAGAUAGUGUCUUGCAAUGUCGCCCAGGCUGGAGUGCAGUGGUGCCCCUCCUGUUGUGAAUGGACAGAGUCCUGAGCAAGGAAACCUAGAAGGGAGAGAGGAAUACCAUGGAAUUGAGUCCUGUCUGGUAGCACUGACAGACACAGUGGCCAGCCACCCUCAUGCCACCCUGUCCUGCCAUGGGAAGGAACAGCAGCUCUAGAGUUCCUAUGGGAACUCUCUUUCCUUCUCACUGAACUCUAGCUUCAUCAAUAACUCAGUGCCUCUGGCCAAGUUUUUAGCCUCUGGGACAACAUCCACUAUAUCCAUAUGAGGCACUCAUGUAACACGGUGAUUAAGAGUACAGAUGCUGAAGCCAGCAGCCUAAGUCUGAAUCCUGACUGCCAAUUAUUAAUAUAAGUUGUGGAACCAUGGUCAAGUUACUCAACCUCUUUAUGCCUCUGUCUCCUGGUCUACGAAAUGAAGGGUGCUCAGAAACUGUGUCAGCACUAGUUGCUCUAUCAUCUGCUCCUUGGUGAGGAUCUCUGGCUGCAGCCAUUGCAAACAGAGCUCCUGGAUUUGGCUCACAGCUUGAUGAGGCCCAUUCACUGACAGCUUUGAAUCUGCUGUUAUUAAGUUGCUGGUGCUGAAAUAACACUUAUUAUUUAUGAUCUAACUGAAAUGGGAACACUGGAAACUUCUUUGAAACUGAAGAAAAAAAUGAAAAAGAAGUUUUUACAAUCAAAACUGCCAUGAAGACUGCUUUACCCAAAAUUUUGGUCCACAGCUUUCAUUGAAUUACUUAUCAGGGCAAACAAAGUUUAGCCAUGUGAACACGUUCCAAUUUUGUUGGAAAUAAUUUGGAUCCAGCUAUCUUUAUACAAUGGUGAGUUCGUAUUGCAUCUCAUGGCUAAAAUACUGAGGUAAAGGCUUUUGGAUCUUUGUGUGUGUGUGUGUGCAUGUGACAAAAACAAGCAAUGGGGAAAGGAGUCCCUAUUUAAUAAAUGGUGUUGGGAGAACUGGCUAGCCAUAUGCAGAAAGUUGAAACUGGAGCCCCUCCUUAUACCAUAUACAAAAAUCAACUCAAGAUGAAUUAAAGACUUAAAUGUAAAAACCCAAACUAUAAAAACCCUAGAAGAAAAUCUAGGCAAUACCAUUCAGGACAUGGGCACAGGCAAAUAUUUCAUGACAAAGAUGCCAAAAGCAGUAGCAACAAAAGCAAAAAUUGACAAAUGGAAUCUAAUUAAACUAAAGAGCUUCUGUACAGCAAAGAAAUUAUCAUCAGAGUGAACAGACAGCUUACAGCAUGGGAGAAAAUUUUUGCAGUAUAUCCAUCUGACAAAGGUCUAAUAUUCAGCAUCUACAAGGAACUUAAACAAAUUUACAAGAAAAAAAAACAACGCCAUUAAAAAAUGGGCAAAGGACGUGGACAGACACUUCUCAAAAGAAGAAAUUUAUGUGGGCAAUGAACAUUUUUUUUAAAAAAGCUCAACACCACUGAUCAUUAGAGAAAUGCACAUGAAAACCACAAUGAGAUACCAUCUCACACCAGUCAGAAUGGCUAUUACUUAAAGGUCAAAAAACAACAGAUGAUAGCAAGGUUGUGAAGAAAAAUGAACACUUUUAUACGUUGGUUGGAGUAUAAAUUAGUUCUACCCUUGUCGAAGACAGUGUGGUGAUUCCUCAAAGACCUAGGGGAAGAAAUAUCAUUUGACCCAGCAAUCUCAUUACUGGGUAUAUACCCAGAGGAAUAUAAAUCAUUCUAUUAUAAAGAUACAUGUGCAUGUUCAUUGCAAAAUAGCAAAAACAUGGAAUCAACCUAAAUGCUCAUCAAUGACAGACUUGAUAAAGGAAAUAUGGUACGUAUACACCAAGGAAUACCAUGCAGCCAUAAAAAGGAACAAGAUAAUGUCUUUUGCAGGGACCUGGAUGGAACCAGAAGCCAUUAUCCUCAGCAAAUUAAUGCAGGAACAGAAAAGCAAAUACCACAUGUUCUCACUUGUAAGUGGUAGCUGAAUGAUGAGAACACAUGGACACAUGGUGGGGAACAAUACACACUGGGGCCUGUUGCAGGGUGCGGAGUGGGAGGGAGAGCAUCGGGAAGAAUAGCUAAUGCAUGCUGGGCUUAAUACCUAGGGGAUGGAAUGAUCUGUGCUGCAAACCACUAUGGCACACAUUUACCUAUGUAACAAACCUACACAUCCUGCACAUGU
ensembl:lncRNA novel transcript (contains ZIM2-AS1 and PEG3-AS1)